AGAGUUUGAUCCUGGCUCAGGAUGAACGCUAGCGGCAGGCUUAACACAUGCAAGUCGAGGGGUAACAGGGAUUGCUUGCAAUCCGCUGACGACCGGCGCACGGGUGCGUAACGCGUAUACAAUCUACCUUUUACAGAGGGAUAGCCCAGAGAAAUUUGGAUUAAUACCUCAUGGUAUUGUUGAUCGGCAUCGAUUGACACUUAAAACUUCGGUGGUAAAAGAUGAGUAUGCGUUCUAUUAGCUAGUUGGUACGGUAACGGCGUACCAAGGCGACGAUAGAUAGGGGUCCUGAGAGGGAGAUCCCCCACACUGGUACUGAGACACGGACCAGACUCCUACGGGAGGCAGCAGUGAGGAAUAUUGGGCAAUGGACGAAAGUCUGACCCAGCCAUGCCGCGUGCAGGAAGACGGCCCUAUGGGUUGUAAACUGCUUUUAUACAGGAAGAAACCUUUCCACGUGUGGGGAGCUGACGGUACUGUACGAAUAAGCACCGGCUAACUCCGUGCCAGCAGCCGCGGUAAUACGGAGGGUGCAAGCGUUAUCCGGAAUCAUUGGGUUUAAAGGGUCCGUAGGGUAGGCUGAUUAUUAAGUCAGUGGUGAAAUUUUGUAGUUUAACUACAAAACUGCCAUUGAUACUGAUAAUCUUGAGUAUAGUUGAGGUAGGCGGAAUGUGUAGUGUAGCGGUGAAAUGCAUAGAUAUUACACAGAACACCAAUUGCGAAGGCAGCUUACUAAACUAUAACUGACGCUGAUGCACGAAAGCGUGGGUAGCGAACAGGAUUAGAUACCCUGGUAGUCCACGCCGUAAACGAUGAUUACUCGUUGCAUGCGAUAUACAGUAUGUGACUUAGCGAAAGCAUUAAGUAAUCCACCUGGGGAGUACGUUCGCAAGAAUGAAACUCAAAGGAAUUGACGGGGGCCCGCACAAGCGGAGGAACAUGUGGUUUAAUUCGACGACAACGCGAAGAACCUUACCAGGGCUUAAAUGUAAGUUGCAUUAGUUAGAGAUAGCUAUUUCUUCGGACUACUUACAAGGUGCUGCAUGGUUGUCGUCAGCUCGUGCCGUGAGGUGUCAGGUUAAGUCCUAUAACGAGCGCAACCCCUAUCGUUAGUUGCUAGCAGGUCAUGCUGAGGACUCUAACGAGACUGCCGGUGCAAACCGUGAGGAAGGUGGGGAUGACGUCAAAUCAUCACGGCCCUUACGUCCAGGGCUACACACGUGCUACAAUGGCGGAUACAAAGGGCAGCUACUUGGUGACAAGGUGCUAAUCUCUAAAGUCCGUCUCAGUUCGGAUCGAAGUCUGCAACUCGACUUCGUGAAGCUGGAAUCGCUAGUAAUCGCGUAUCAGCCAUGACGCGGUGAAUACGUUCCCGGGCCUUGUACACACCGCCCGUCAAGCCAUGGAAGCUGGGGGUGCCUGAAGUCGGUGACCGAAAGGAGCUGCCUAGGGUAAAACUAGUAACUAGGGCUAAGUCGAAACAAGGUAGCCGUAAAGGGC
rnacentral:rRNA from 1 species